rnacentral:rRNA from 1 species
UUACACAUGCAAGUCGAGCGGGGGAAGGUAGCUUGCUACCGGACCUAGCGGCGGACGGGUGAGUAAUGCUUAGGAAUCUGCCUAUUAGUGGGGGACAACAUCUCGAAAGGGAUGCUAAUACCGCAUACGUCCUACGGGAGAAAGCAGGGGAUCUUCGGACCUUGCGCUAAUAGAUGAGCCUAAGUCGGAUUAGCUAGUUGGUGGGGUAAAGGCCUACCAAGGCGACGAUCUGUAGCGGGUCUGAGAGGAUGAUCCGCCACACUGGGACUGAGACACGGCCCAGACUCCUACGGGAGGCAGCAGUGGGGAAUAUUGGACAAUGGGGGGAACCCUGAUCCAGCCAUGCCGCGUGUGUGAAGAAGGCCUUAUGGUUGUAAAGCACUUUAAGCGAGGAGGAGGCUACUUUAGUUAAUACCUAGAGAUAGUGGACGUUACUCGCAGAAUAAGCACCGGCUAACUCUGUGCCAGCAGCCGCGGUAAUACAGAGGGUGCGAGCGUUAAUCGGAUUUACUGGGCGUAAAGCGUGCGUAGGCGGCUUAUUAAGUCGGAUGUGAAAUCCCCGAGCUUAACUUGGGAAUUGCAUUCGAUACUGGUGAGCUAGAGUAUGGGAGAGGAUGGUAGAAUUCCAGGUGUAGCGGUGAAAUGCGUAGAGAUCUGGAGGAAUACCGAUGGCGAAGGCAGCCAUCUGGCCUAAUACUGACGCUGAGGUACGAAAGCAUGGGGAGCAAACAGGAUAC